rnacentral:lncRNA from 1 species
AUUGAUUUUGUGAGGGCCAAUUGAAAUGAAAUUUGGAUGGGAUGAAUGUCCAAUUGAAGCUGAGAUUUUUAAAAUUCGUAGCCCCCCACCUAGCCACAACAUUUGGACCAUUUUGGCUUCUAGAAGAGUUCUUGAGAGGUCCAUUGUGAGCCAAGGAAAUUAUGCUUGGCUGAGAAUUGUUUUUGGAGAUAUUCUUGCAAAAUAUCAAGCUAAGGCCCACCUCUUCCUCAUCCUCUCCAUCUUGCUGCCGUGAAUUGCUUCUCUACCUUCUCAUUUUCUUUCGUGCGACUGCUUCCUCAUCUCGGCCACUCGUCCGCGUGAAAUCCAUCGCAAGAAGACAGAGGCAGCAACCACGCCACUACUACACAUCUUCAGUUCAACGGACGGAGGCCAGCAAGCGGUGAAGCCCCCAUCUCCAUGGACGUCACCUGACUGCACGCCACCGCUCCAUCAUCCACCGAAGAAGAAAUCUCCACGCGGCUAGAAGUUCAAGCGGACAUCUCCACUACAAAUUGUCCCUUUGGUCAACAACAAGCCAUAGAAGCUCCUUGAUUGACCGAAUCAGCGACCUCACGUCCCAGCUGCAGCUGCUUCGUGCGUCCAGUGAAGUCUCCACGCGUCCAGGUCAACUGAAGCCGCUCCUUGCCGUUUGUUGACCCUGUCGGCCACUCACUCAUUUCCAGCACUGAACGAAGACUCCACCGGUUCUGCCGCUCCAGCCCGUUGAAGCUCCACCAACCGCAGCUCACGUGUCCGUUUAGCCGCAGUGGAUUCCAGCGCCCCUCGCCACUUCUUUCGUUUAGUCAGCGUGAAGACCGAAUCCACGGAUCCAGCGGCCUCGAUUUUCUUUUGCUCGUGGACAGACCUCAGCGAGCCCAUUCCGCUUCUCUUGCCGGCCCAGCUCGCUCAAACUCAAUUGAAGCCCAUCGAAUUGGACUUAUUUCAGCCCAAAGAGAGCAGACCAUUUUCAGCUUAAUUUCAAGUCCAGCAAGUUGCAAGCCCAAUUUCCAGCAAAGAAAUUUGAAGCCCAAGUGAAGUCAGUCCAGAAAUUUCAGCAGGCCCAAUUCAACUUGGGUCUGGCCCAAAAGCAAGAACAAAUCUCAGUUGGGCUGAGGUUUGUUGGGCCAAGGUCAAGGCCCGGUCCAAGCCCGCCGGUGUUGUCGGAAGUCCGAUUUCGGCCGCCGUCG